GGAUGUGAUCAUACCAGCACUAACACAACGGAUUCCAUAAGAACUCCAAAGUUAAGAGGGCUCGAGCGAGAGUAGUACUAGGAUGGGUGUCCCCCUGGGAAGUCCUCGUGUUACAUCCU
rnacentral:rRNA from 1 species